GGGGAGGUACGGUGGUCACAUAGUGCUGUGAAGGUACAGGGGAGAAGGUACAGGGGAUGUACGGUGGUCACAUAGUGCUGUGCAGGUACAGGGGAGGUACGGUGGUCACAUAGUGCUGUGCAGGUACAGGGGAGGUAUGGUGGUCACAUAGUGCUGUGCAGGUACAGGGGAGGUAUGGUGGUCACAUAGUGCUGUGCAGGUACAGGGGAGGUAUGGUGGUCACAUAGUGCUGUGCAGGUACAGGGGAGGUAUGGUGGUCACAUAGUGCUGUGCAGGUACAGGGGAGGUAUGGUGGUCACAUAGUGCUGUGCAGGUACAGGGGAG
ensembl:lncRNA